CGGCAGCACAGAGGAGCUUGCUCCUUGGGUGGCGAGUGGCGGACGGGUGAGGAAUGCAUCGGAAUCUGCCUAUUUGUGGGGGAUAACGUAGGGAAACUUACGCUAAUACCGCAUACGUCCUACGGGAGAAAGUGGGGGACCUUCGGGCCUCACGCAGAUAGAUGAGCCGAUGCCGGAUUAGCUAGUUGGCGGGGUAAAGGCCCACCAAGGCGACGAUCCGUAGCUGGUCUGAGAGGAUGAUCAGCCACACUGGAACUGAGACACGGUCCAGACUCCUACGGGAGGCAGCAGUGGGGAAUAUUGGACAAUGGGCGCAAGCCUGAUCCAGCCAUGCCGCGUGUGUGAAGAAGGCCUUCGGGUUGUAAAGCACUUUUGUCCGGAAAGAAAAGCGCUCGAUUAAUACUCGGGUGUUAUGACGGUACCGGAAGAAUAAGCACCGGCUAACUUCGUGCCAGCAGCCGCGGUAAUACGAAGGGUGCAAGCGUUACUCGGAAUUACUGGGCGUAAAGCGUGCGUAGGUGGUUUGUUAAGUCUGAUGUGAAAGCCCUGGGCUCAACCUGGGAACUGCAUUGGAAACUGGCUUACUAGAGUGCGGUAGAGGGGUGUGGAAUUCCCGGUGUAGCAGUGAAAUGCGUAGAUAUCGGGAGGAACAUCUGUGGCGAAGGCGACACCCUGGACCAGCACUGACACUGAGGCACGAAAGCGUGGGGAGCAAACAGGAUUAGAUACCCUGGUAGUCCACGCCCUAAACGAUGCGAACUGGAUGUUGGGGGCAACUUGGCCCUCAGUAUCGAAGCUAACGCGUUAAGUUCGCCGCCUGGGAAGUACGGUCGCAAGACUGAAACUCAAAGGAAUUGACGGGGGCCCGCACAAGCGGUGGAGUAUGUGGUUUAAUUCGAUGCAACGCGAAGAACCUUACCUGGCCUUGACAUGCACGGAACUUUC
rnacentral:rRNA from 1 species